GAUGAACGCUGGCGGCGUGCCUAAUACAUGCAAGUCGAGCGAACGGACGAGAAGCUUGCUUCUCUGAUGUUAGCGGCGGACGGGUGAGUAACACGUGGAUAACCUACCUAUAAGACUGGGAUAACUUCGGGAAACCGGAGCUAAUACCGGAUAAUAUUUUGAACCGCAUGGUUCAAAAGUGAAAGACGGUCUUGCUGUCACUUAUAGAUGGAUCCGCGCUGCAUUAGCUAGUUGGUAAGAUAACGGCUUACCAAGGCAACGAUGCAUAGCCGACCUGAGAGGGUGAUCGGCCACACUGGAACUGAGACACGGUCCAGACUCCUACGGGAGGCAGCAGUAGGGAAUCUUCCGCAAUGGGCGAAAGCCUGACGGAGCAACGCCGCGUGAGUGAUGAAGGUCUUCGGAUCGUAAAACUCUGUUAUUAGGGAAGAACAUAUGUGUAAGUAACUGUGCACAUCUUGACGGUACCUAAUCAGAAAGCCACGGCUAACUACGUGCCAGCAGCCGCGGUAAUACGUAGGUGGCAAGCGUUAUCCGGAAUUAUUGGGCGUAAAGCGCGCGUAGGCGGUUUUUUAAGUCUGAUGUGAAAGCCCACGGCUCAACCGUGGAGGGUCAUUGGAAACUGGAAAACUUGAGUGCAGAAGAGGAAAGUGGAAUUCCAUGUGUAGCGGUGAAAUGCGCAGAGAUAUGGAGGAACACCAGUGGCGAAGGCGACUUUCUGGUCUGUAACUGACGCUGAUGUGCGAAAGCGUGGGGAUCAAACAGGAUUAGAUACCCUGGUAGUCCACGCCGUAAACGAUGAGUGCUAAGUGUUAGGGGGUUUCCGCCCCUUAGUGCUGCAGCUAACGCAUUAAGCACUCCGCCUGGGGAGUACGACCGCAAGGUUGAAACUCAAAGGAAUUGACGGGGACCCGCACAAGCGGUGGAGCAUGUGGUUUAAUUCGAAGCAACGCGAAGAACCUUACCAAAUCUUGACAUCCUUUGACAACUCUAGAGAUAGAGCUUUCCCCUUCGGGGGACAAAGUGACAGGUGGUGCAUGGUUGUCGUCAGCUCGUGUCGUGAGAUGUUGGGUUAAGUCCCGCAACGAGCGCAACCCUUAAGCUUAGUUGCCAUCAUUAAGUUGGGCACUCUAAGUUGACUGCCGGUGACAAACCGGAGGAAGGUGGGGAUGACGUCAAAUCAUCAUGCCCCUUAUGAUUUGGGCUACACACGUGCUACAAUGGACAAUACAAAGGGCAGCGAAACCGCGAGGUCAAGCAAAUCCCAUAAAGUUGUUCUCAGUUCGGAUUGUAGUCUGCAACUCGACUACAUGAAGCUGGAAUCGCUAGUAAUCGUAGAUCAGCAUGCUACGGUGAAUACGUUCCCGGGUCU
rnacentral:rRNA from 1 species